GUGGGGAAUAUUGGACAAUGGGCGAAAGCCUGAUCCAGCCAUGCCGCGUGAGUGAUGAAGGCCUUAGGGUUGUAAAGCUCUUUCAGUGGGGACGAUAAUGACGGUACCCACAGAAGAAGCCCCGGCUAACUUCGUGCCAGCAGCCGCGGUAAUACGAAGGGGGCUAGCGUUGUUCGGAUUUACUGGGCGUAAAGCGCACGUAGGCGGAUCGUUAAGUCAGGGGUGAAAUCAUGGAGCUCAACUCCAGAACUGCCUUUGAUACUGGCGAUCUAGAGUCCGGUAGGGGUGAGUGGAACUCCUAGUGUAGAGGUGGAAUUCGUAGAUAUUAGGAAGAGCACCAGUGGCGAAGGCGGCUCACUGGUCCGGUACUGACGCUGAGGUGCGAAAGCGUGGGGAGCAAACAGGAUUAGAUACCCCUGUAGUCC
rnacentral:rRNA from 1 species